CCGACCCGAUUAUGGCUGCUUGAGUAAAGGUAGCAGCUUGGGACAGCGAAGAAGAAGACGAAUGGAUAAACCCUAGCAUUCAACCAUGGCAGCCGUUCAAUCCCAACUUCAAUUCUCUCAUUGUUUCACUCUCUACUCUCCAACCCACUUCACUAUCUCCAAAAAAGUGACCGAAUUUUCAAACCGGAAAGCACCCAGAACCAGAGCCUCCGUCAACGGCGCACCACCAACACCAACGGCGCCAAAACCCGCUCGACGGGGCCGGAAGAAGAGCCCGGAAACCAAAUCCACCGCUAAACGACGCCCCCGGAAAAGCCAACCCCAAAACGGCACAACUGAACCAAAUGCCCUUGCGGAAACAGAAGAUUUUGAUGAUGGGAUAGACUUCCCCUACGAAGACCCGCCGCUUAUAUGCUGCUUCGGCGCGGCGACGAAGGAGUUCGUGCCGACGGUGAGGGUAUCGGAGGAGCAAAUGCACCCGGACAUCUACUCGCAGUGGAAGAUGCUGCAGUGGAAGCCGCCGGAGUUCGCGCGGGCGCCCGGAGGGCCUCCGUCGAACGUGGCGGUGGCGCACGCCAGGCUGGGUGGCCGUGCGGCGUUUUUGGGGAAGGUCGGCAACGAUGAGUUUGGGGAGGAGUUGGUUUACUUGAUGAAUAAGGAGAAGGUUCAGACUCGGGGUGUGAAGUUCGAUGAGAGUAAGAAGACGGGUUGUGCUUUCAUGAAGAUCAAGUUUGAGGAGGGGAAGAUGAAGGCCGAGGUGGCAAAGGAAUCGGCUGAGAAUUCGUUGCUUGGCUCUGAGCUGAACCUUGCUGUGCUCAAGGAGACUAGAAUUUUCCAUUUCAAUUCAGAGGUCUUAACAUCUCCUUGUAUGCAAUCUACCCUGUUCAAAGCAAUUUCGUGGUCGAAAAAGUUUGGGGGCCUUAUAUUUUUCGAUUUAAAUCUGCCCUUGCCUUUGUGGAAAUCCCGUGAUGAAACAAAGGAGGUGAUCAAGAAGGCCUGGGCGGAAGCAGACGUAAUUGAGGUAUCAAAGCAAGAACUAGAGUUUCUUCUGGAUGAAGAAUAUUAUGAAAGGAGGAGAAAUUACAGGCCUCAAUACUAUGCCGAGAACUACGAGCAAACCAAGAACAGGAGAGAUUAUUAUCAUUAUACCCGUGAGGAGCUCUCCCCAUUGUGGCAUGAUGGGUUGAAAUUUUUGUUCGUGACUGAUGGAACACUUCGGAUUCAUUACUAUACCCCUUCUUUCGAUGGUGUGGUGGUGGGAACAGAGGAUGUUCUCAUAACACCCUUCACCUGUGACAGAACAGGCUCUGGUGAUGCUGUUGUAGCCGGUAUCAUGAGGAAGCUGACCACACAACCCGAUAUGUUCAAAAAUCAAGAUGUUUUGGAGAGGCAGCUCCGAUUUGCUAUUGCUGCUGGCAUUAUAUCACAAUGGACAAUAGGGGCAGUGCGAAGUUUUCCUACAGAGAGUGCUACCCAAAAUCUGAAAGAGCAAGUUUAUGUUCCUUCAAUGUGGUAGAGGGAGAAUGCCAUUAUAGAAAACCGUAAUUCCCAUUGUAAACUUGUUUGUUGUAUGUUUCCCGAGUGUGCUAAGUUUAAGCCACAAAAGAUUCAUAAAAGGCAAACUCGAGACAGAUUUACUUUGUUCUUGCAUGACUAAAGACAAUGAUUGACCUUUGCCAACCAAGAAGAGACGGAAAUUUUGGGGGCAUCCUGGUUUGCGAGAUUGAUUUUUCUAGUUUGAAGAAUUUCAUGCCAACAUACAAAAACAGAUGAGCUACCUUUGUCUUUAUGGGAUAAUUUGAUAGAUUCCUAAUUUUAAUGUUUGAAAGUUCAUGGUA